UACGUAGGGGGCAAGCGUUGUCCGGAAUUAUUGGGCGUAAAGAGCUCGUAGGCGGUUUGUUGCGUCGGCUGUGAAAUCCCGAGGCUCAACCUCGGGUCUGCAGUCGAUACGAGCAAACUAGAGUGUUGCAGGGGAGACUGGAAUUCCUGGUGUAGAGGUGAAAUUCGUAGAUAUUCGGAAGAACACCGGUGGCGAAGGCGGGUCUCUGGGCCGAUAUCGACGCUGAGGAGCGAAAGCGUGGGGAGCGAACAGG
rnacentral:rRNA from 1 species